UCCCUUGUAGCUCAGUUGGUAAAGAAUCUGCCUGCAGUGCAGAAGACCCAGGUUCAAUCCUUGGGUUGGGAA
rnacentral:tRNA from 1 species